rnacentral:tRNA from 1 species
GGUUCCGUAGCUCAAUGGAAAGAGCACCUCAACCACAGUCCUAUUUGAUGAACAAAGGCAAUCGAAUAGUGGGUUGAGUGGCUUCAGGUUCAAAUCCUGACGAGACUG